GGCAUCGUAGCAUAAUGGGUAAUGCAGCAUUGUGAGAAUGCCGAUGGAGGUUCGAGCCCUCCCGGUGCUU
rnacentral:tRNA from 1 species